rnacentral:lncRNA from 1 species
GAAUUAUUUUUACCACCACAGUUCUUCUGGUCCUGGCUUACUAGUUAUCUUUUCCCUUUAUGGUGCACAGGAACCAUUUCAUCUUGAACUUUUAAAAAAGAUUGUGUCUAUUAGCACAAGGUUUUUCAUUCGUUGUUAAUUAUACAAAAGUGUCUUUGAAUCCAAAAUGAUUUCCUACCCAGUCUUCACUUUCAAAGGAAACAGCAUUUCUUUGGACAGCUAUCGCUCCUGAGGACACUGGCUUAUAGCUGGUCACUAUGGAAGUCUUAUGGGUCCCUUGCUCUUUCUGCUAAAUGACUACAUUGAAAUGGUUAUUUGGAGGACAGUCCAGCCAGAUGGGUUGUAAAGUUUCUUUUAUCUGUACAUGUAUGGUAUUUUAGUUUCCAUAAAGAAAGACAGAAGUUAUCUUUUAAGUUAAACCAAAUUUCACUUUUUGAGAUAUCUUCCAACUUAUUUAUUGGUUGUUACUCAAAUGCCUGUGCGUGCGUGCAUGUGUGUGUGUGUGUGUGUGUGUGUGUGUGUGUGUGUGUGUGUGUGUGUGUCUGUAUUAUCAGGCAUAUGCUUCUAAGCUUUUAAAUGGAGGAGGAGCAAAAUCUAUGCCAGAUACUGUAUAUUCUACCAUGGUGCUAAUAUCAGAGCUAAAUGAUACUCCAUUUAAUUUAAAGAAGAGUUUUAAAUAAUUAUCUAUGUACCUGUUUCCCUUCUGAGUCCUGGUCAUUAUGUCCUCAGUGGUGUGAAAGCAGGUGAAUCAAGUAUAUGUUCUACUUUCUAGGGACAGUACUAUGAUCCCUAUUUAAUUCAAACUUAACUAGAGCUUCUCCAUGUGAAAUGGACCAAACUGGCAUUGUUCUAUUUAAACAGAGAGUUUUAAAGCAGUAUGACAUCCCACAGGGGGAAAAAUGUCUGUAGAGGACAAUUGUCCUCAGAUAUUUUACAGAAACAAAGAAUGAUGAGAAGACUGGUAACUUGCUUGAGUUUCCAUGAAUAGAUUUGAGACGUAAUGGCAAAUCGAUUUUGUAUUUAAAUUUUUGUACUGAUUUGAAAAACAGAUCAUUAAAUAUCU